UCGGGAAUUUUGUGCAAUGGGCGAAAGCCUGACACAGCAACGCCGCGUGAAGGAUGAAGUCCCUCGGGAUGUAAACUUCGUAAGAAUAGGAAGAAUAAAUGACGGUACUAUUUGUAAGGUCCGGCUAACUACGUGCCAGCAGCCGCGGUAAUACGUAGGGACCAAGCGUUGUUCGGAUUUACUGGGCGUAAAGGGCGCGUAGGCGGCAAUUCAAGUCAUCUGUGAAAUCUCCGGGCUUAACUCGGAACGGUCAGAUGAUACUGCUUUGCUAGAGUGCAGAAGGGGCAAUCGGAAUUCUUGGUGUAGCGGUGAAAUGCGUAGAUAUCAAGAGGAACACCUGAGGUGAAGACGGGUUGCUGGGCUGAUACUGGCGCUGAGGCGCGAAAGCUAGGGUAGCAAACGGGAUUAGAUACCCCAGUAGUCCCUGAGCGGGCUGGCAAGGCGCAU
rnacentral:rRNA from 1 species